rnacentral:rRNA from 1 species
UAAAUCUACCUUUUGGAUGGGGAAGUAACAGUCGGAAACGGCUGCUAAUACCGCAUAAUGCAGCGGCACCUAAUGGUGACAGUUGUUAAAGCGGGGGAUCGAAAGACCUCGCGUCUGAAGAGGAGCCUGCGGCGGAUUAGCUAGUUGGUAAGGUAAUGGCUUACCAAGGCUACGAUCCGUAACCGGCCUGAGAGGGCGGUCGGUCACACUGACACUGACAUACGGGUCAG